rnacentral:rRNA from 1 species
AACGAACGCUGGCGGCAUGCCUAACACAUGCAAGUCGAACGAGAUCUCCGGGUCUAGUGGCGCACGGGUGCGUAACGCGUGGGAAUCUGCCCUUUGGUUCGGAAUAACAGUUGGAAACGACUGCUAAUACCGGAUGAUGACGAAAGUCCAAAGAUUUAUCGCCAGAGGAUGAGCCCGCGUAGGAUUAGCUAGUUGGUGUGGUAAAGGCGCACCAAGGCGACGAUCCUUAGCUGGUCUGAGAGGAUGAUCAGCCACACUGGGACUGAGACACGGCCCAGACUCCUACGGGAGGCAGCAGUGGGGAAUAUUGGACAAUGGGCGAAAGCCUGAUCCAGCAAUGCCGCGUGAGUGAUGAAGGCCUUAGGGUUGUAAAGCUCUUUUACCCGGGAUGAUAAUGACAGUACCGGGAGAAUAAGCUCCGGCUAACUCCGUGCCAGCCGCCGCAGUAAAAC